AAGCCGGGUUACGGUGCCCAACUGCGCGCUAACCUAGAUCCCACAAAGGGUGUUGGUCGAUUAAGACAGCAGGACGGUGGUCAUGGAAGUCGAAAUCCGCUAAGGAGUGUGUAACAACUCACCUGCCCGAAUCAACUAGCCCCGGAAAAUGGAUGGCGCUUAAGCGCGCGACCUAUACCCGGCCGUCGGGGGCAAGAGCUAGGCCCGAUG
rnacentral:ncRNA from 1 species